rnacentral:lncRNA from 1 species
GGGGUUGGAAUGUUCAACCAUUUUUACAUUUCUAAAUCUAUCCGAUAUAUGUAGUACUGUAAAAUAAUCAUGCAAGUGAAAACCAAAUAUAAAUUUAGAAGAACAAAAUUUGCAUUCAAAAGAUGUUGCUCAAAUUUUAAAGUCAUUGACGAUUAUGUCCAAGAAGGGUGUACAACGGAAUUAAAAAUAAACUUUAUUAGUUCGUUCGUUUUCUAGUUUGAAUUGUUUUACUUAUGGACCUUUUAAAGCUGACUACGUGGUAUGUUCUUUGCUCAUUGUUGAAGACCGUCCGAUGACCUAUAAAUGGUAAUUUCUGUGUCAUUUUGGCCUCCUGUGAUGAGUUGUCUUUUGGAGAGUUGUCUCAUUGGCAAUCAUACCACAUCUCUUUUUUUAUAUUUAUGAACUAUUGCCAAAUAUUGAAGCAAAACUAAAAGAGAAAG